CGGUGGCAGAACCUGCGGGCUAAGGUGGGAGGCUCACCCUCAGGGAGGAAAGGAAGCGAGGACCGCACGGCUGGGCAGCGAGGAGACGUUUGGAGUCCGGGGCUCAGGCCGCCUACACCUCCUCCUGCAGCGGACACGGCGCAGCGGGCGGCUCACCGGCCGCCUCGGCUACCCUGCGCGCAGGGAGAAGGAGGAGAGUGGCUCCAGGAGACGUGAUUUUCUUGGAUUGGCUGCAAUUCUUUCAAGCGAGCCAGACUUUCGGGGCGUUAAAGUAAAUUGCAGGUGGCAGUGUGGAAGCCAAAAACGGGAGCUUUCCAAAGUGGCUUCUGAAAAAUAAGAGUGAAUAUACAUGAGUAAGCUAGUACAGGAAUCAGAAAAACCACAGUAACCUGUACGCCCAACGUGGGGCUUGAAAUCAUGACCCCGAGAUCAAGAGUGUUACAUGCUCUACCAACUGAGCCAGCAAGGUGGAGAAACUGAGUCCUGAAAGGUCGUGACAUCCUUGAAGUUACACAGAGAACUGAAGUAGCAUAUGGCUCAUCUAGAAGGUAAAGAUGAAGGUAAAGAUGAGAACGACUUCAACUUGAUUGGCACCCUCUUGAAGAGAAAUGCUUUUGCUCAGCUUGUUCCUGAGGGAGACGGAAUCUACUUAAAAGGAUCGUAAGUGAUUUUUACCCAGGGUCUAUUCUUUUCUUUGUUUCUCCUCGGUUUUAAUCUCUCAAAGAACCUUUUACAAUUUUUUAGGAACUUGGCCUGAGUUCUAACCUUUUAUCUGCUUCUAACAGGGUGGCUCUGAGUGGGGCCCUUGCCCUCUAAUACCAAUUUUGUUAACUAUUAGAAUGGAGUUCAUUAUGCUGUUCUCUCAACUUUUGUACAUGCUUUUAAGGAUUUCCAUAAUACAAGUACUCUUUUUUUUAAAAGGGCAGCAGAAAUAGAUAAAAGUGUUUCUUGUUCCAGCACUACCUUUGGUGUUCUUUAAAGGUCAGGGGGAAGAUCUGAAUAUACUUCGAGGCCAAGUGCAAAAGCAGGCAUGGUCUGGGAUCAGGACCUGUCUUUGGUGAGCAGAAGAUGAAGGGAGUAGCUGUGUGUGUUUGAGGUGGGGCCACAUCGAAGUUCUUAGUUGUGACUAGUGAGUCCUGACCCACCUAGACCAGGCUUGCUUUCUUUUAUUGGGGGGUCGGGGAUAUUUUCAAAAGCGACUUUUUUUUUAAGUUUAUUUAAUUAGCCUCUACAUCCAGUGUGGGACUUGAACUCCCAACCCUGAGAUCAAAAGUCACAUGCUCUACGAACUUUUCCGAUGAAGCCCAUCCUCUGCCCAUCCUCUGCUCAUCCUCUUCAGCCCCAGGUUUUUUCCUUUCCCCUGAACACUGGCCCAAACUUUCUGUUGCUCUGAGCCGUGGUAUAUGUUCCUAGGCUGGAUGUGGUGCCAUCGCCAAAGUCUUGCAUGCUCUUAGCAAGAUGAUCAGGAAUUUCUUCAGUCCUGGCAAUCCUAGGAUCUGCUCAUUUCUGGGACGCUUUGGUCUUUGCCCUGAAGCCCUGAUUAAGUGUCUCACUUCAGUGCUUGCGUUUCUGGAGCCAUCUCCUCAUUAUUUUGUAAGAGUUGUUUCAUUCUGAUGAACGCGAUAUGCCUUAGGUAAAACUUUUCCCUGGUACAUCGUGGAACUCACUGAUGCCUCAAACCUCACACUUGACUUUCUGUAAAGUCCAGCCAGAGCUACUGAGAACAGAGACUUGGGGAUCCAUCCUAAAAACCCCAGAAAUACAUUUUGAUACAUGAGCUCGGGAGAUGUUCCUAGCAAUCCGAUGAAUCUGCACACGUCCCUCCUAGUUUUCCGGGCAAGGACAGGGGGCUCUGAAGGGCGGAGACUCAAAAGAGCCCGGUCCUCGCCACUUUGAGGCUGGAGAUAGAUGUAGCGCCACCUGCCACGCUGAUAGGGAAUUGCAAGGCGCUCCCCGUUGACUUAGUGAUAAUGAUUUUGUUUUUCUUGGUAAAACUCCACAUCUUUGAAGAGGGCGAGAAGGGAGAAGAGGAAGGAAAGGAUUAGAUUGAGAUUGUGCAUAACUGCAUAAUAAGUGAAUUUGAAGAAUUGAGGUGUGGAGAGCAAAUACAGUCACCCUGGCGCUGUUAAUAGCGACUUUGUGAAUAACUUCUACAUAGGUUUCCCCUUUACUUAGAACCUGCUACCCCAUCUACUUCCCCCAAACCGCAGUGUUUCUCUAAAGGAGGAGAGACAAAGAAGUUGGCUUACAAUUUGCUGCCUAGUCUGAUACUUGGUUCUCACAUACUCAUUUAAGCGAUAGGUAUUGGGCACAUCGUGUACUAGCGUUAGACCCUGAGCAAGAUGCUGGGGCCGGCCUAGUGGGCAAGACAGACUCAGACCCCUCUUCUAAUGCAGGAGUGCCCACCGGCCUGUUGGUAUGUUCUCUUUGGCCCACAUAGGGCUGUAAGUGCUGCAGUGUUUUUUCCCCUCUUGAAACAUUGGGAAAUUUGGCCCCUUAGAACUGUAUUUCCACGUGGCGUAAAUGUCAGGGAAGUGAGGGGGUGGUGUUGAGAAAUACCUACCAUGGUAAGCACAGGCUUACCUACCACCUACCUUGGCCUCCCUCUCCUAUUGUAUUCGAUCUGUUAGCUCUUGGGGGCCUCUUUGGUUGCGAUCCCCAUCUUUAUGUGCCUCCUUCUGCAGUGAUCACCCUGUGACACGGGGCACCUUGGGUGAGAGCCAGGACAGGAGGCCAGGUUGGGAUGGGAAGUGUGGCUCCCAGCUGGUUCUCUCUGCCAGUGGUGGAUGCUCUUGAGCUCUGCCCUUCAUCCAGCCCUGCGCAGGCCACUGCUACACCACUCGCAUGAGCCUGCUGUUCAGGAUUAGAUUUUGCCUCAGAAAGGGGAAAUUGCCCUGGCCUUUUCUAGGCCUCCACACCUGUCUUUGUCUUUGUGGUUCCUUCUGCCUGGGGGCCACCUUUGAAAGCACAUCCCGCCUCUCUUUCUCGAGUGUUCUGGAGGCUGGGCUUCAAGGCUGGGGGCAAAAGGCAGCAGAGACUAGAGCUGCCUACAGGGGCUCUCCAGAUUCUACCGGAUCACUUGCCUUGAUCUGUUUUACAUAUUGGGCUUUCUUGUAAAUUUCCUUUGAAGAAAGCAUUUCGAAGCCCAAGGUAUUGUCUGUUUCAUUAAUUGAGAGCCCACAAGUUGCCUUAGAUUAUUCGUUCUUUCCUUAUGUUCGUAUCUGGUUUCUGUAAUUGCAUCUUGAAUUCUGGAGGGUGGGGUCUCUGUCCUCUGUGUUUCUCCCCACCCAGAGCCCAGCCUGGGACUGCGCGAAGGAAGGUAAAAGAAUAAAUAUCCUUUGCACAAUCAAAUCAAUAUCUCAUUUCCUGAUUGUUAGAGCACAGAGUUUAUAGGUGAUACAGAUUUAAGUUUUAAUAGCCCGAGACCCUCUUCUGAGGGCACAUGCAUUCCUUACUUCUCUGAAAAUUUGUAUAGUUUUGAAUAUGGAAGCCAUCCAUACCAUCGUCUCUAUGUUUCUCUUAUCCGUCCGGCUCUGUCUCAUUAAGUCUGGGGCUAAAAGUAAGGGACAGGUAGUGACAGGCCUGGUUGGAACAACCCUGGGAGCCUCAAGCCACCUGAUGGUGAGGGAGACAGGGAGGGCUGGGCCCUUUGACAGCAUUCAGGGUGGAGACCACAGACCUCUCAGAAAUACCCUGGGGAUUUCCCGGACUCUCCCGCUAAGAAACACUGUCCUUACAACACGGCCUCUCCAACUGGGCAACUGAGUACUCUCUAGGGGAGAGCCCACAUCCCCGGGCAAGGUGGAGGGAUGACUGACUGGCACUUGGGAGCCCUGGUUUCCUUGCUAACCCCACCACAUCGUAUUUACUUAACCUUCAGCAGUCACUGGCAUCUUUUAGGGCUGUUUCUAGUUUUAGGGAUUAAAUAUGGAAGAGUCCUCACAGCACGAUUUCCCAUAGGUUCUAGAUCUCCUCUCUGACUCAGCAGACAACACUUUAUGCCAGUGCAGCCCCUGAAAUUUCAGAGGAGGCGGUGAGGAUAAAAGGCCCCUGAAGCAGGCAUACAUACCAUUCAUCUCAAGUCUCCACCCAACCCUUAAAGGUGCAUUUUUGUAUUGUCAUCUGCACCAGAUGUCAAUGUUUUUGUGUUAAAACAAUUUAAAAAUUAUUUUUGCGAAACCCAUUAUUUACCGUCCUCAAAUUUUGGAGUAUGAUUGACGUCCCAAGGAUACAUGACAUGCCGAGUCCCUGGUUUGGUGAAUUUCCAAGAGGGUCCUCCUGCUACUUCUAUGUAAUUUUUUUUUCUCUUUCACGUCUAUGUCAUUUUUUGUGUGUGUGGGGUCAGUUUUAAAUUCCAAGAUGGAGAAUAUGACUUUAUAAUAAUUAUUCCAUAGAGCAAUUCUCUUUAUCCUCCUAGUAACCCUAUGAAAUAGGUACUAUUCGUUACCUCCAUUUUACAGACGAGAAAACAGGCCCAGGGAUAUGUUAUAACAGUAAGUUGCUCGAUGUUGGUUCGUAAAUGGUGAGGCUGGGAUUUGACCCUGAACCUGUGCUGUUGACCUUACUCUGCUGUCUGCCUGUGGAGUAGACUAAGCCAGGAAGACCGAUUUCUUUUCUGUCAUUAAUAACGGUUCGAAUUAUGAUGCUGCUUUUCAAAGAAUUUCAUGUCAUUUCCAGGUAACCUAUUUCUCUAGAACUCAAGAGGCUCAAUCAUUGGGCUUUAUGUCUUCAGUUAGCAAGAACUUGAUCAGCCUCAGGUCUGUGGCCACCGAUAGACUCUACCUGAUGACCCCCAACUCAUCCACUUCCGAGAGAUGCCCCACAGAGAGUAACCUCUCUGACUGGAGUGACCAGUGUCAGACUAGAGAGAGAUUCAAACUGAGGCUUGUGUCCCGAUCCCCAGGUGAUGGAUCUCCAUAAGCCAUGUAGUUGGGGUGUUUUCAAACAGUGUGACUAAGAUACAAAAGAUACUGAUAUUGAACUUGCUGCUGUGGCUUUGUAGUAUUAUUUGGUGGUGAUGCUCUUUACUUUUCAUUCAUUGUGUUUCUUAGCUAUGUAAACAAAAAGCCAAAGUGAUUCAUUACCCACAGCUCUGUUUAAUGCUUGUGGUUUAACAUUUGCCAGAUAAUUCAACAUAUAGCCACACAUCACCCCGGGUGAACAACAACAAAAUCUUUCUGUUCCUUUCUUUCUUUCUUUUUAAAAAUCUGUUUCUUUAGUUACUUUUAUUUAUUUUAUUUUUUAAUAUUUUAGUUACUUUUAAUUAAAACCUUUUUUAAAGAUUUAUUUAUUUAUUUUGAGAGGCAGAGGGAGCACGAGUGAGUGGGGGGUGGGGUGGGAGGGACAGAGGGAGAGGAAGAGAGAGAAUCCCAAGCAGACUCCUUGCUGAGCGUAGAACCUGACGUGGGGCUCGAUCUCAUGACCCUGAGAUCACGACCUGAGCCGAAAUCAGGAGUUGGAUGCUCAAUUGACUGAGCCACCCAGGCGCCCCCCCCCCAAUUUUUUUAAGUGAUCUCUACACCCAACGUGGGGCUCAAACCCACAACCCCCAAGAGCAAGAGUUGCACGCUCCACUGACUGAGCCAGCUAGGCACCCCAUGUUUCUUUAGUUACUUUAAAAAAUUUCUGGAUUAGGACUGUAGGCUUAUGUAUUCAGUGUGGCAACAGCAACAACAAAGAGUCAGAGAACAAACGAACCCAUCUCUUAAGGUCUUGAAGAGACAUAAAACAUAGAAAUUAGAUCUUCCCCACUUUCCUACCUCUGGACCUACACACAUUACCUCCAUAGGUGCUCAUGGGUUUGUUUGCCUAUACUGCCUUACUGGGUCCUAUCAUCCGUCUCCUAAUUGAGGCUCCUGCAGUUACCCAUGUGUUCCUCAGCAUCAUCCACUUCUCCCACUCACAUUCCCUUCCAGCUACUGUGCCAUUUCUUGGUGGUGUCUUUAUGUACUGCCUCAAAUGCAUUUCCUCCCAUGCUCCAUUGUUUUCAUUCCAGUUAGGUUUUGCCUGCCCACCCCCACCCCCCAGGCUCCAAAUGACUCCUGUCAAGAGUGCCCAGGAACUCCACCUUCCAAAUCCAGGGCUGAGUUCUCAGUCCUUAUCUUCUUGAGCCUUCAGGCAGGAUUUGACCCAGCUACUCCUACCCUUUUCCUUGAAAUCAGUUUCUUCACUUGGUUUCCUUGACACUACACUUGGUGCUCUGCCUAUCCGAGGGUGUUCUUUGCCGAUUCCUCCUGGCAUUGCCCCAGCCUCUUCAUAUUCAAGUGCCUCGGUCCUCCUACCACUUCUCUAUCUGUCCUCACUCCCAAAGUCAGAAUUAAUCCCUUGGCUUUACAUACUACUUAAACGCUGAUGAUUUCAUCUCCCAGCUUUCUGCUCAAUUUCAACUUCAUCUCUGCUUGGAUGUCUCCUUGGCACCUCCAGCCUAGCAUGUCGAAAACCCAGCUCUUCAUUCCCCUCUGCAUACCUCCCCACUCCUGCUGUACCCAGCCUGUCCCAACUUGGGAAAGAGCAGCUUCGUUUUUCCUGUUGCCCAGGCCAGAAACCCUGGAGUCCCCAUUGAGUCUUCUCUUUAGCUUACCCCACCUCAGCAACUCCUGUCUUCUCUGCCUUAAAAAUAUAUGCUGAAUCUGACCAGUCACCCUUAUCUCCACUGAUACCGACCGGGCCAGGUCACUGUCUUCUCAUUUGGAUUCAUCAACUAGGCACUUUGUCCCUCCCUUGCCUCAAGAGUUACCCUCUUAGAUGGUUCCACUCUCCUGAUCAGGAGCCCCAUGCCGUUUGCUAUUUCUCUCCGAGUCCAGACCGCAGUCCUUGAAAGAUGAUGGCCUAGAGAGCCCUAUGUGAUCUGCUCCCUCCAUCCCCACUCAACCUAAUCACUGCCAUGUCCUUUUUUUUCCCGUUCUGCUAUAGUGAGCACUGGCCUCUUUGCUGUCCCUGUAACUGACCAGGAAUGCUCCUACUUCAAUGCCCCUGCACAAGUUUUUCUUCUGCCUCACCCCCUCAUUUAUUGCCCAGCUCUCUCCAGAACCUGCUUCCUGCCUUCCUUCAGGACUCGAUUGAAGUGCCUCCUUGAUCAGAGGGGCCUGCCUUCCCCGAUCACUCCAAGCAAAAGAAUAACCACCCCUACUCCUACCCCUUCCUGCAUCCCAGGAUUGUUUGUUUGCUCUGUCUUGCCAGAGACCUCAUCACCAGCUAGCUUACUUUGCAUUUAUUUGAUUGUGUGUCUUUCCCCUCUGGACUAGAAACUCCCUGAGGUCAGGUACUUUGUCUCUUGUUAAUUGCUGGAUCCCCUGAACUUAGCCUGGUACCUAGAAGUUAGAAGUACUCAAUAAAAAAUAACGUUUGAAUGAAUAAGGAAUUCCCUGGACAAGGUAGUCAGAAAUAGGCUGCGGGGAAAUGAGGAUUUGCCUGGGGCGAGAAGAGGACCUAAAGCAUCUAUGACAUUUAGUGUAUUCUAAGACCCCCCUCCCGCCCCCACCUACUCCCCAUAUUUGACCAUUUUUAAAAUCUGGAUGUAGAUUAGAAUGGGCAGCCACUCUCAGUAGCCAUCUGCCAGGCCGUGGUCGUGCUGUUGCUGUUCCCACGCAUGCACAAAGUUGGCCAAGAGCUGUUUACACGGGCAGCAGUUUCGUUGAGUUGUAUUGUUGGUUCUAUAUAUGACUGGGGGUAUCUGCCAUUUGAUAUGCUCUCAGUAAGAUUACACUUACCGAAAUGAAAUUUUAUUGGCAUUGAAACAAAAUCCUAUUGUGUGCACAAAAAGGAAGGCAUUAGCACGGCAGGGAGCAAAUUUGAUAUUAGUGAGGCAAAUGUUCAUUGUUGGAGAAAUGACUGAAAUCCCACGUUUUCUUUUAAAGCAACGACUGGGAAAAUACAAGUAGUUGAAACUGUUUCAUUUGCCGCUGAGAUAGAUGCAGAAGGACUGCCAGUCCCGUGCCAAGCAGCACAAAUGAAGGCAGGAGAAAUAGCCCAUCUCUCCAGACAAUGCAAAUGAGAAGCUCGUUUGACCCUCACUCAGGACUGUCUUUGAGGCAUGGCGGCGUCAUAGUUAAUUGGCCACGUUUGUUUGUUACAUAAAAGAAGGGAAUGUCUUACAAUGCACGACAUUUCAGGUCGGGUGAAACAGAGUGGGUGUCUUUUCUACAUCUUAGAAUUCUAAAACUAAGUUUGUAAAUCUUAUUUUGUCAUUUCUAGUUAUUUUCAUCUUUAAGAUUCCAGUGUAUCUUAAAUCCGUGAGUAUUUAAAGCGUAUGCUACCAUAGGCAUUCAGCAACAAGGGAGAGGCUUGGUCAGUUACAGUUCGUUGGCUUUCUUAUGGAAUGUUUCUCUGGCAUUUAAGCGCAACCAGCACCAUUGGGAGUAAUUAUCCAGAAAUGAGUUUGGACUUCAGUUUGCUACAAUUAGUUGAAGGUAACUUUUUCAGACAGCUGCAGGUUUGGGUUUUGAACUCUUUCUUUUGAAAUAAUUACAGGCUCCUAAGAAGUCACACAAAUCGUAUGGAGAGGGCUCGCGGAGCCAUCACCCGGCUUUCUCCCAUGGUGACAUCUUAUGUAAGAUGCAGUUUUUAAGGGGUCAUCUUGUUUUCUUUUUUUUUUUUUUAAAGAUUUUAUUUAUUUAUUUGACAGAGACAGAGAUAGCGAGAGCAGGAACACAAGCAGCGGGAGUGGGAGAGGGAGAGCAGGCUUCCCACCGAGGAGGGAACCCGAUGUGGGACUCGAUCCCAGGACCCUGGGAUCAUGACCUGAGCCGAAGGCAGACGCUUAACGACUGAGCCACCCAGGCGCCCGGUCAUCUUGUUUUCUUACAAUGACCCGUUAGGGUAGGAAUUGAGAGGAAAAGUCGUUUUGUCAUACUGUACAGCCAGCCAGUUCACGGUACAGGGUUCCCAGUCACAGGAGGUGAGAUCAGAGGCAUUGAUGUCACAGGGGGAUUCAUAAUAUUGACCAUCCUGUCACAGAGGAAAUAAUCAGGUUAAAUUAAUUUGCAACCUAUUCCUCCCAACAGAAGAACUCUGCAUCGAUCUGUUUCGAUCUGUUUUUGCUUCGACACAGCCUCUCUUUCAAUGAAAUUGUUUUAGAGUGAUGGAAAAUGCUCUACAGGGGCA